CUGCUUAGCAACCUGCUCGGGACCCCUCUCUGUGACUGUGAGCUGUUCUGUUCUUUUGCCUAUUAAACUCCUGCUCCAAACUCACUCGAUGUGUGUGUGCAUGUCCUUGACCUCAAUAUCUGGUCGUGUGACCAAGAACCUCAGUAUUCACCCCAGACAACAAGGCUGCUUCAUUUUGAGGGCUCGUCUGGGAUUUGAAGGUGACUUCAUCAGAAUGAAACCAUCAAGCUUCAGAUGGUGCUGAAAAUGGAGCCGAAAAUGAAACUGCCCUCCUACGAGGGACCCUUAAAUCAACCCCAGGAGGAGCCCUAGCUGCUGUUCCCCACACAACGCCACUCUCCAGCAGGAAGUAGCCAGAAGAAAUCGUCACCCAGUUUCCCCUAGCAGCAGUUAUGGAUUUCAUUCCUGAGGGGGGAAAUAUGUUAUAGGAGGCAGAAAGAAAUGAUUUAGGCGCAGUAAGAUUGAGGAGCUAAAAACAGACUUGGGUGGAUGUCUGCAGCUGCAAGAAGAUGUGUGGGAACAGACACAGAAACUCUCCCUCCCAGAUAAGCAAGACAAAGAAACACAGAAUAAGAGUCCAUCUAUGUGGUCAGAGAAUGGGAUAAGAGCUGAUUUAAAAAAACUCUGCUCUAUAUAGAAGGCACACCUGGUCCCAACCAAACCACUGGACCCUAGGAGGAUAAGACCUCCUCUGCUCAUGAGCCCCCUCCUCAGUAGCCCAUUUAUAAAAACCCUGACAAUUUUACUACCACUUGGCAACCCGCUCGGGACCCCUCUCUGUGAUGGAGAGCUGUUCUUUUCUUUUGCCUAUUAAACUCCUGCUCCAAACUCA
rnacentral:lncRNA from 1 species